UAUACGUUAUAUUUUGUUGAUGCACCUCCGUUGUUGUUGUUCUUCUCGGCAGUGCAACAUUUCUGUGUCUAUCGACGACCGGCCUUGCAGAGUGUACGUUGGCUCGCUAUUCUCGAGCUUGAAUCCAGAGGUUGCUGGCUGCAAUGGGUGAUACUCCGCCACCACGUCACCGAGAAAUCACUCCUCCUCCUCGUCACAGGGAUAUCACCCCACCUCCUCGUCACAGAGACAGGUAUUCAAGUUCGCCUUCUCCAAGGGAGAGAGAGAGGGAGAGGCUGCCAGAGCGAUCUCGGUCGCGUAGCCCUGUCCGACGAGGGAAGCCUAUCAAUGAUGGGCUGGAUCGCUCAAGGUCACGUACUCCUCCUCGUCGUGAGAAACCUGGGUCCAUUAACGAUGGACGGGAUCGGUCAAGGUCCCGGACACCUCCUCGUCGAUCCAGAAGAGGUGAACCUGAUGCAUUGAACCCUGGUAACAAUCUCUAUGUCACUGGUCUAUCUACACGGGUGAAUGAGAAAGAUCUGCUAGAGCACUUUUCACAAGAGGGAAAGGUAUUGGAAUGCCGUUUAGUGCUUGAUCCCCGAACGCGCGAGUCACGUGGUUUUGGAUUCGUCACAAUGGAACAUUUAGAGGAUGCAGAGCGCUGCAUAAAGUAUCUUAACCGUUCUACCUUGGAAGGACGAAUAAUUACUGUUGAAAAGCUUCUCCUGAGCCAGACUUUGCUGGUCUCUUCAUUGCGACCUCUUGGUCCUCCAGAAUUCGGCUCCACACUGCCUCCGCUUUUACUCUCCCACUUAGUUUCUUCUGCGGCGACAGUAAAGAUCGCAAGAACCAACCCAACGUUGGAACUUGGGUUCAUGCGAUCGAAUGGUUCUUCGCAGGGGAUACAAAUCUCAGUCUUGCAGGUCUUGCCAUGUGCCUAGCGUGCUAUCCUCUUUUCUUCAGCUGCUGUCCAAGCUGAUCUAGAGAUCAACACCUAAUUGCCUAACUGGUUGGCACAACUCGACCGGCAGUAAUCAAAUCUCGGUAGUCUAAUUCAACUCAAUGGGAGAAAUGGCACUGCGAAAAGACCAAAUCUCGGUAGUCUUAAUCAAUUCGAAGGGGUAUUCAACACCUGCUGUUCAACUAGAGAUGGGUACUGUUUGUCUAUCACGGCUGGCAAGGUGCAAUGAUAUCGAAUGCUACUAGUCAUAUUCAAUGGAGUACCUGCAACCAUCUCUGUCGGCUUUAUCGAUCAGUUGUAUUCUUCUACCCAGGCUAUUCCCAACCUUUCGCAACGUUAAUGUCCAAUUGUGGUCGACGUCCCCUUUUAAGUUUCCGACUUUCUUAAAUAUGGGAGCUGAGGGCAAGAGUCCAGCUUUGCAGAGACGCUAUGCCUUGCUAUCAGUUGCUCUUUGGCCAAACGCAAGCGAGCGCGUACUCCUACUCCUGGAGAGUAUCUUGGUGUUAGAGCUAUGCAGGCAAGUCGUCGGGGAGGUGGUGGGGGCAGAGGCGGUGGUAGCUAUGGCCGUGAUAGCAGGAACAUGCGACACUCGCCUGAGUAUGCACCAUACCAAGGUGGUGGCCGGGACAGGGAUAGAGACAGAGGCAGGUCACCUCGUUAUUCUCCAUACCGCACUCAUGGGGGUAACCGCUCAGUGUCCCCGCAGUAUGGUUCAUAUCGUCGAUGAUUAUUCAGGUGCCAAAGCUCUCAAGUCCUCGAGCAUUUCGGAUCAGUAACAUGUUUUGUGUCGGAUUUAUUGGUAGUUAUAAUCCGACGAUCUGAUACUCUACUCACGCUUUAUAUUUUUGAUGAUGUUUAGGGUUUAGGCCUUGCUUGUCAGUGAUAUCUAGCUUUGUCUGAUCCAGGAAGCUAAUAUCCUUUGCCAGUAGGUAGGGCUGCUGCAGGACAUUUCAUGGUUUAUUAUUGUAAUUGUGAUGUACAGUAGUACAAAAUCAAUCAUAUUUCUGGUUUUAUUUAUUAAAAAUAGAUUUGAGAUUUUUACGACUUA